GAUACCAUAAACUCAACUGACUACUAUGUGAUACUUCAUAAUGAUAAUGGCUUUUCCAUCCCAAACCUUAAAAACACGACUAAUGUAAAUGUUCCUGGUCGUUGGGCUUUUCUUGUCAACAAUGGGACAGAAAACAUCAUAGAACUUCAAAUUAACCUUAGGUCAUUUUUAGACCUAACACAGACUGAAAACGUUCAGAGUGUUUUGCACCUUAUAAAACAGGAGCUGGUCAAUCGAGGAGUGUCAAGCCAGUUUGGGCUGAAAUUAAGAAAACUCGAAAAGAUAUGGCCGUGAUACAAGAAAAGGACUUAAAUCUCUUAUGUUGUUGCCACUGAUGUAGACGACAAGGAUGUUGACCAAUUCAAUUUCUUUUUUUCACCUAACACAUAAAUUAACUACACACAAACAUGAAUGAAUGAUAUUCAUUGAUCCUCUUAUUUCUUCCUAUUGUCAGAUACUGUGGGAAUGUUUCAGAGAAGCUAAUUAAACCAGCCUGUAGUAUGUGAACAAUGUCAUUAAACCUGUUGUU